GGACCCGCACAAGCGGUGGAGCAUGUGGUUUAAUUCGAAGCAACGCGAAGAACCUUACCAACUCUUGACAUCCCCCUGACCGGUACAGAGAUGUACCUUCCCCUUCGGGGGCAGGGGUGACAGGUGGUGCAUGGUUGUCGUCAGCUCGUGUCGUGAGAUGUUGGGUUAAGUCCCGCAACGAGCGCAACCCUUGUCCUUAGUUGCCAGCAUUCAGUUGGGCACUCUAAGGAGACUGCCGGUGACAAACCGGAGGAAGGUGGGGAUGACGUCAAAUCAUCAUGCCCCUUAUGAGUUGGGCUACACACGUGCUACAAUGGACGGUACAAAGGGCAGCGAAGCCGCGAGGUGGAGCCAAUCCCAGAAAGCCGUUCUCAGUUCGGAUUGCAGGCUGCAACUCGCCUGCAUGAAGUCGGAAUCGCUAGUAA
rnacentral:rRNA from 1 species